rnacentral:rRNA from 1 species
AUGUCAAGCAACCUUCCGAGAGUGAAGGAGUUUUUCCUAGAGUUCCUAAAGGUUGAGGACACAUCGGGGUUGGGGCUUUUGAAGGUAUUGAUGGAUACAUUGAGUUCUUUUGAUUUGAAUGCUGCUGAUGUGAGAGGUCAAGGUUAUGACAAUGGUUCCAACAUGAAAGGACAAUACCAAGGUGUUCAGAGUCGCUUCCUUAAAGAAAACCCCAAAGCAUUGUAUAUGCCAUGUGCAUGUCAUAGUUUGAAUCUCACUCUUUGUGAUAUGGCAAAAUCUUGCAAACAGUGGAAGAUUUUACUUGACAAUCUUCCAAAAGGAACAAAACUAACUCUCAAGCCUUUGUCCAGUACUUGUUGGGAGAGUCGAAUAAAGAGUGUGCAGCCUAUCAGGUACCAAACUAUCCAUGUAAUUUUAGCUUUGAAGGAAUUGGAGAGACUUCUACUGAUGACCUAG